GACGAACGCUGGCGGCGUGCUUAACACAUGCAAGUGGAGCGACGAAGCGGGCUUCGGCCCGUGGCAGAGCCGCGAACGGGUGAGUAACACGUGGGUAACCUGCCCCGAUGACUGGGACAACCCGGGGAAACCCGGGCUAAUACCGGAUGUACUCUCACCACACCAGUGGUGAGAGGAAAGGUAGCUUCGGCUUCCGCAUCGGGAUGGGCCCGCGGCCCAUUAGCUUGUUGGUGGGGUAAUGGCCUACCAAGGCUGCGAUGGGUAGCUGGUCUGAGAGGACGAUCAGCCACACUGGGACCGAGACACGGCCCAGACUCCUACGGGAGGCAGCAGGGGGGAAUCUUGCGCAAUGCGCGAAAGCGUGACGCAGCAACGCCGCGUGGGGGAAGAAGGCCUUCGGGUUGUAAACCCCUUUCAGGAGGGACGAAGCCUGGCUGGUGAAUAGCCAGUCCAGGUGACGGUACCUCCACAAGAAGCCCCGGCUAACUACGUGCCAGCAGCCGCCGUAACAC
rnacentral:rRNA from 1 species